rnacentral:rRNA from 1 species
GAACGGUGAUAUUUAUAUCAUAGUGGCGCACGGGUGUGUAACACGUAUGCAACCUACCUAUUAUUGGGGGAUAGCCUUUGGAAACGGAGAUUAAUACCGCAUAAUACGAUUAACUGGCAUCGGUUGAUUGUUAAAGCAUUUGCGAUAAUAGAUGGGCAUGCGUCCAAUUAGUUAGUUGGUGUGGUAAUGGCUCACCAAGACGAUGAUUGGUAGGGGAUCUGAGAGGAUAAUCCCCCACACUGGCACUGAGAUACGGGCCAGACUCCUACGGGAGGCAGCAGUAGGGAAUAUUGGGCAAUGGGCGGAAGCCUGACCCAGCCAUGCCGCGUGCAGGAAGACGGCGUUAUGCGUUGUAAACUGCUUUUUUAUAGGAAGAAGGAUCCCUUGCGAGGGAAGGUGACGGUACUAUAAGAAUAAGCACCGGCUAACUCCGUGCCAGCAGCCGCGGUAAUACGGAGGGUGCAAGCGUUGUCCGGAUUUAUUGGGUUUAAAGGGUGCGUAGGCGGUUUAUUAAGUCAGUGGUGAAAGACGGUCGCUCAACGAUUGCAGUGCCAUUGAUACUGGUAGACUUGAGUGAG